rnacentral:rRNA from 1 species
AUUGAACGCUGGCGGCAGGCCUAACACAUGCAAGUCGAGCGGAUGAAUGGAGCUUGCUCCUGUAUUCCGCGGCGGACGGGUGAGUAAUGCCUAGGAAUCUGCCUUGUCGUGGGGGAUAACGUCCCUACACGGGCGCUAAUACCGCAUACGUCCUGAUGGAGAAACUGGGGGUUCUUCGGACCUCACCCUAUUAGCUGAGCCUAGGUCGGAUUAGCUCGUUGGUUUGGUAAAGGCCUACCAAGGCGACGAUCCGUAACUGGUCUGAGAGGAUGAUCAGUCACACUGGAACUGAGACACGGUCCAGACUCCUACGGGAGGCAGCAGUGGGGAAUAUUGGACAAUGGGCGAAAGCCUGAUCCAGCAAUGCCGCGUGUGUGAAGAAGGUCUUCGGAUUGUAAAGCACUUUAAGUUGGGAGGAAGGGCAGUAAGUUAAUACCUUGCUGUUUUGACGUUACCAACAGAAUAAGCACCGGCUAACUUCGUG